GGGGAGGAAAGGUACGUGGGUCUCUUCCGAUUCUCGCAGUAAAGUGAAACUUUCGCUGGUACUGUGGUAGGAUUAUCGCUGGAACCCAAGUGAUUCACAGGUUAGUUCGUCAGUAUUUAGUCUAUGCAUACAAAGAUGGGAGUAGAUCUAUAUAGUUUUGCUUACUCUAUAAAAAUGGACACGAAUAUUCACUGUAAAGAAAUGGAAAAGCAGUUGACUAAGUAGGAAACGCCAUUACUUGAACUGAAGGGGUCAUAGAUAUAUGAAGGUAUGAGUUAUAACCACAAUCGUUUCUUACAUGUUCU
rnacentral:lncRNA from 1 species